UACGUAGGGGGCAAGCGUUAUCCGGAUUUACUGGGUGUAAAGGGAGCGUAGACGGCAGGGCAAGUCUGAUGUGAAAGGUCGGGGCCCAACCCCGGGACUGCAUUGGAAACUGUCCGGCUGGAAUACAGGAGAGGUAAGUGGAAUUCCUAGUGUAGCGGUGAAAUGCGUAGAUAUUAGGAGGAACACCAGUGGCGAAGGCGGCUUACUGGACUGUAACUGACGUUGAGGCUCGAAAGCGUGGGGAGCAAACAGG
rnacentral:rRNA from 1 species